CUCCCUUCCCUGCCUGCGCUCAGGAUGGAGCAGCUCGGAGGAAUCUCCGUCCUCCUGUUUUCGUGGGAGGAAUUUGUCAUUUUUGGAGCAGUUUAUGGUGGGGUUGGUGAGGCUGCUCGGAGGGAGCUGGGGCCGUUGGUUGAAAGGCAGCAGGGGGAGCAUCGUUCUGAGCAGCUCUGAUGGGACCCAGCACUUGUCUUAAACGGGCACAGCAAAGCCAGGGGCAAAAGAGACUUUUGUCAGCCUUCUUAACGAGGCAGAAUUGCCUCACUUCCUCAGAUAUGGAAAUGCCUCUUUGUUAAAGCAAGGCCCCGUCCCUUAUCUCUGGGUUUGGACAGCUCUGCUUUUGGCACUUUGCUGUGUGAAAGGACUCCACGCACCUCAACGUGCACACAAAGCCAGGAUCCAACGGGGGAAAAGUUUGCAACUCAGGAUUGGCUCCGAGCAGAGCAGGAGUGACCCCAUAUGGGGACACUGCAGGGCUCCUUCAGGACGGAGCUGCCUGGAACACCUCUGUAUUUGGGGAGAAACCCACAGAAGUCUGAUGGAUCCCCCCAAGUUCCCUUUCGUUCUGUUGAAUGUGAAUGUUGCUGCUUCCAUUUUGAGGAUAAAUGGGCAUUUUCCCAUGGAACAGCCAAACUGAACUUCUGCCUCUGUAGACCUGGGCUGUUCCUGGUCUCACAACGACCUGCUUAACCAGGAGUUGGUUUUUGGAGGUGGGAGGAGGUCCAUCGUACUCCCUCUUUUCCACCAUUGUUGUUCCAAUGGCAUCAAAGGAGAAAGCACGCACGGGCUGGAAAUAGCCAGGACAGGUCAGUGGUGGUUCUCCAACCCAAAAACCAAAACCCAUCUCGUCAUCAAAGAACCAUAGGAUGGUUGGGUUGGAAGGGACCUCAAAGACCAUAGAACCAUAGGAUGGUUGGGUUGAAAGGGACCUCAGAGAUCACCUAAUUCCCACCUGCUGUGUGUUUUGUGACACUGGGAAGCACUGGGUUUCCUAGAACUCUGUAGAGAAUUGAGCUCAGUUGUCUUCAUUGGAAUCCCCAUUUUGGGACGGAGGUCCCUUCCAACCCAGCCAUCCCAUGAAGCGGCAAUGAUCCCAGGAGCUGCGGGGCGAGGAUCCAAAAUCUGACCCAAUUCCUGAUCCAAAACCUGCCUGAAGGGCUUCGGGCUCUCAGCUCUGGGCCCAUCCUCACCGUGCUGCAGGACCAGCCCCGACGUUUCACCUCCAUUCCCCACCUGCAGCAUCGCAUUUACCACUUCCCUCAGCAUCUCCCCUGGCAGCGCCAUUUCCCAUUGGGACAUCGAUGCCCUCUCGUCGGGUUCCUCUCUCUCAGCACCCGGAUGGGCAAAGCAAAAGGCAGAAGAGCGGCGUUCUGUGCCGGUGUCACUUUUCUCCCAGCCAACAAACAGAAGUUUUAUUAGCGAAACCCUCUCGGAUGCCGCAUUCCAGCUUGGUAACAUUUCGGUAACACAUUGCAAACGUUUGACUCAUAGAAACUUGGAAGGCUGCAGCCGGGGGAGGGGGAAGAGCGUCACAUUCCCAUUCCCGGGCAGGGUUUGGUUGUUGGGUUUUUCUUUUUCUUUUUCUUUCUUUUUUUUUUUUUUUGUAAAGAACUGAAACUUCUCUCUGUUUAAUGAAAAAAAAAAGUGUUGGAGCCGGCCGCUUUGGGCUCGCAUUGUGUUUGCAGCGAGGGGAUGGGGGAGGAGGGCUGCUGCCAAGGGAGGAACCGAGGCAGCUGAACUCGCUUUUCUUCGGCGAGUUUUUUUUCUCCCUCUGUGUUCCCAGGACAGGGUUGGCUUUCUAGGUUUGAUAAAGCAUUUCCUUCCAUUGUCAUUCUAUACGGCCUCUGGGCCCUUUGCUCAGUCCCUCCCCUUUCGCCUUCCCCUCUCUUUUCUCUUUCUCUCUUCCUGAACUUCAGUGAAUCUUGAGAUAUAAAGAAAGCAGCUGCCUCCCCCCGAGCACAUCUCGGACAAUGCGGCCGCAUCUCCAAGGGCUUUAACUCCUCUGGAUGCAAGGACAAAGCCACGGAUCUGCUGUCUGUGCUGAAAUCUGAUUCGUAGGAAACAGUAUCUGAGUUCGGGAAAUGCCACGGGGUGUCUGAGGCCUUUGGGACCGGGCAUGGAAAAGAGCAGCCCCCAAAGCCUGUUGUAAUCCUCUGUGCCAAAAUGAGAUAAGAAAGCCUCAAAGCUUUAUUACAGGUGAGCUUCCCACGUUGCUGCUUCCUGCUCUGGAACACAGACGGGAGGUGGGGGAGAACCACAGUAAGGGUGGAUCCCACGCCAGCAGGAAUCCGGCCAGGUGAAGGGGACAAACCUGGUGGUGGCUGGAGGAGGAAGAGGAGGAGGAAGAGGAGGAGGAAGAGGAAGAGGCUCUUCUGGCAACCACUCAGCCCAACCACGAGGGAUAUUGGAUUGUGCUUCUAAUCUGGAUGAGUGGAAUCCUCCUGGUGUGGGCUUUGGGAGCAGCUGAUGGAAAACAGACAAAAGAGACUGACGGAGGGGGAUAUGGGUUAACAGGGUAAACCUGGGCACGUGCAAACAAUGGGAUUUCGUGUUAAAAAACACUGGAAGAUUGCAGCUGAGAGCAGGAAAUUGGGUCAGGUGCUGAGUGGUUGUAUCUGCUGUAGGAAAGCAGCUCUGGACAGGCUUUGGCCACCGGUGUGGGGAGGCAGGGCGAUGUGCCCCACUUCUCCCAUGCAAUGGGGUACCAUGCAACGGGGUACCCGGGCAGUGCUGAGCCUUCAGUGUGCUUUAAUCUCAUGGGAGCUGAAUUCUUUGGGGGUAAAAAACAGAAGAAAGGAAUGCCUGUGCCAUCAGGUGCAGAUGUGAGGCUGAGGAGAUGGGCUUUGUGCCCUGAGCAUGCAGUGGGAGGCUCUGAAAGGAGAAACCUCCUGGUAUGAGGUGUGAUUCUGGGUGUUACGGCUGGGGAAUUAUCACACAAGGUAUGAAAGAGCAGAACCUGUUGUGCAAAAGUCAAUCAGAGCGCUGAGUCAGAGCAGCCUCAAUGCGUGCUGAGCUUUUUGGACUCCUUAAAAUCACAUUUCUUGGUCCAAUGCAACCCUGCAUGUUUUCCCCCCAUCCCGUCUGUGUUUGUGGCAUUUGCUCAUAGGGAGUUCUGCUCAAUGCAGCAGCUCUGGGCAAUGCUAUGGGGUGCCUGGAUAUGGGAUGGGAGCUGUAGGUGGAGGGGUUUGGGGAUGGGUGAUGGGUUGGGUGGUCGUGGAAGGGCUGCUCCGCUCCAGGGAGGAUCCGAGUCCUUCAGCUAACAGAAAACUGCCACACUCAGCUGAACCCCAUUGAGGGAUAACAUUGGGCUUCACAACUCAGAAGUAAAGGUGGAGAUGGAAUGAAGCAGCAUCAGCUGUGAUACCGACCAGAGCCUGCAGCAGGAGGACACCCCCUGAGCACCGUGCUGCCCGGGACAGCUGUGCUCCCAGCAGGAGCUGAGUGCUCGUAUAAAUGGAGACGAAGCCCUUGGAUGUGAGGCAUCACUGAGUCUCGUUGAUUUCUGGGAGGAGCUGAGAGCCUCACUGCUCCUUCUGCCAUCUUUCCCAGCUCAGUGCCCACAGCCCCCUCCGUCGCAGCCUCCGGGAGUUCAUCUCUGUUCUUGGCACCUUCACAAUGAGGAAAUUGGCCGCCACUUCCACAGCAGCCAGCAACUUUCCAGGGAUGUUGCAUGGAUUUUCCAGCCAGGGAUGGAACGGCCUCAGCAGCCCUUCGAUCCGCCAGCAUAGGGCUGCAGCGCUGCAUCAGGAAGGAGCAGAUGGCGUUUAAAGGAGCAUCCAUGGGCAGAUCCUCCUGCACGGACACGGCCUCGUGUUAUGUGGUUGCAUAGGAGAAUGAAUGCACUUUAAAUGCAUAUGAACUGGCUAUGAUUAGUUAGGAAGUUUUCUUUCCAGAGCAGGAAAUGGGGGAACUGUAAUUAUUUCUUUAACAAACCAGGUGCACCAGGCCAAAAGCCUCAGUGCUGUGAGCACUCAGCAGAUCCGUGCUGGCUGCACCUGAUGGUUUUAAUAUCACUGGCCAAACUGCUCAGUAAUAGAUUUUGUGUGGUGGCCACACAGGAAGGCCCCGGUGCACGUUCCCUUACCCUUCGUAUUUGCUGUCCGUUGCGGGGCUUUGGGUGAUGCUGGAAUCAUUUUUUUUCCAUCAGCCUGCGGUUGGAUCUGCUGCUCUCCGCGUUGGCAUCUCCCGAGUGCAAAAUGCACAGAGGAGAAAGCUGCUGCGUCCUGCCCUGUGCUGGGCCUGGCGGAUGCAUGCGGGUCUGCAAAAGCCAUCAUGGGCUUUGCAGUGCUGGUGCAAACCCACAGCAAGGAGAGGGCCGAGCGAGGUGGUGGGGGGUGCAGAGGGGUGGGGGGUGCAAGGAGAUGGCGUGCAUGGUGCUGCCCCCGUGUCCUUUCCCUGUCUCCAUGUCCUUUCCCUGUCCCCACGGGUCAGCCCUGUUUGCUGCUUGCCCUCCUUUGUUCCUGAAGCACAUUUCUCAUCUCGUCUUGCUGUGAGCAAUGCGGAGGAGAGCUGCCUUUCAAACACGCCGUCCUGCGUCAGCCCCGGCCUCUUUGUUUCUUUUUAGUGUGCUCAGCUUCGUGCUGGGAGUGCAGGGUUUUUCCAGCCAGGACGGUUUGGAGCAUCAGACGUGUGCAGAAUGAGCGAUGCCGGAGCUUCGGGCUCAGCCAGGGCUGGAAAAACCCCCACUCUUUGUUUUGGGCUUGAAGCAAAACCACCUCCUCCACCUCUCCAUGGCUGUGCUUUAAGUCUGGGAAACAGCACGCGUGCAGCAUUCGGUGACACCCAGAGCCCAUAACUCAGGGGAUGGACUCUGCACAGAUCCAUUCCCCAGCAUGGCCGGGCAGCACCUGGAUCCUGCUCUGCCUCCUCACAUCAAUCUCCCAGCUGGGAUUUGUCCAAAAACAAAAGGCUUGCAGCAAGCUGGAAUAACAGCACGAGGUCCCUGGGCGCUGCGCAGCCUGCAGCGUCCUCCAGCCCUGAGAUGAGCAGAGCCUCACGACUGUGUUGCUCACGGGGGUGAUUUAUAGCCCGGGGUCUGUAAGUCCUUCUCUGGAGUAAGAAAGUAUUCCUAUCCCCAUAGCCUGAAUUCAUUAUACUGAAGAUAAGGGAUUCUGCAUUCGAACAAAGAGAAUCUCUGCAGCGGUUUGGAAGGGAAUUCUAGAGCUGUUUGGAAUUUCUAGAGAUGAAAUGAAAUCUCAAAACAAAUCCAAGAGAAGGCACAGAGACCGAGCACGGGCAGCUGGCUGACCAAAGGCUGACCAUGAGCCAGCAGUGUGCCCCUAUGGCCAGAAGGCCGAUAGUAACCCUGUUGGCCAACAGUUGACCAAGGGUUGACCAAAGGCUGACUGGAGCACUGGGCCCAGUGCUGUGUUCCCCAGUUCCAGGCAGACUGGGAACUGCUGGAGAGAUCCUUAUGGAGGGUGCAGAGCUGAUGGAUGUCCUGAUGGGCAAAUGCUGAGAGCCCCAGCACUGUUCACCUGGAGAAGGUCGAGAGGGCAUCCGAGCAACACUUUACCAAACCCAAGCACUGCGGUCACUGUUGGUGCCCACCCCCAUCCCCUCCAUGCUGUGGGGUGAGAGCAGAGCUGGGGACACAGAUGGGGCUCACCGACCCCCCACUGCCUCCUGCACGCAGUGCAACCACAUUGCCACGCAGGGAAGAGGACGAGGGCCCUUCUCAAGGUGACCAGCUUCUUAUUUUUGGCCGCUAUCCCCCUGCUGCUGGAGCUGACCUGGGCUGCGAGCUGUUGAAGUUUUUAGGCCCUUUGUUUGUUUAAUGGAAGCGAUGUUUGUUUUUGAUCACAGGCAUUAGAUAGGCACUUCCUCUGCAUGCAGGAAGCAGUGAUUUCCUGUUCACUCGGCGGCCAACUCUCACUGCGCAGGAAACCUCGCUCUGCUGAGUGUUCACUUUUCGUGCAGCGUUUUUGGAAGUCCUCUCGUGGGGUUGUUUUGUUUUCUCUUUCCCCACCCCAAUGCUGUUGGGUUCCCAUAGGCUCCGGUGGGGCCAUUUCCCCACAUUUGGCUGAAGUCUCCCAAUGAGGUCCAAUACGGAGGCAAGGCAGCAUCACUGCUUUGAUGGUGUUUGUCACACUGUGAUGGUGUUUGUCACCACUGUGGUGGUGUUUCCCACUGUUUGGGUGAGGUUUGCCACUGUUUGGAUGGUGUUUGUCAUCAGUUCUGUGCUACCACCAACAGCACAAGCGCAUCCCUCUGCUUUCAUGGACCCGCUUGGUGCAGAUCCAUGCCUACGAUCACCCCAUUUGCCUCUCCCUGCUGUUCUGCUGAUGCCUAUGGGUUGUUCCGGAUGCAAUUUGCUGUUGAGGAGGGUACAUUUGUACCAGGUCACCUGGACAACUUGCUGUCAUGGGCAGAGUUAAAGCAGGGAGCUGGACCAAGCCUGCCCUGUUUGCUCCUUUCCUUGCUGGGACUUUUAGGCAGAUAAGUGCUCUGUGGGAAUGCUGGUGAUUAUUACUGAUUACCCAAUAAAUUUGUGUGAGAACUCUGCUGUGGGUGCAUGGCUUGUGCUUCCCAGAAUCUUGCUUCUCAUCUCUGCAAUGCUCUUCUGGCUUUGCUCCCUUCUGGCUGCAGCAGCACGCCCAGGUCAGUCCGUAUAGCAUAAUGAAUGGGGACAGAGCUGAUGAUGCUUCCCACCUGGAGAGGUUCUUUUGAGGUGGAAAAGAGGUCCAUAGGACUUCCAGUUGUACCAAAGGCAGCUGGGAUGGGGAUCCCUUGGCAACUCUGUGCAUAGGAGGGUGGUUUUGAUCUGUGUGUUUGUUGGUAUUUCAGAGCUGACCCAGACAGGACUUUGCUGUAGCAGUGUGCUCAGAGCUGUGGCGGCAGAUGCCUCCGGCCACAGCAAGCCUGGACAGGUGGACAGACAGACAUGGCUGUGUGGGAGCAUUCAAUCUGAUGCUGGCCAUCGGUGUCCUCAUCUGCUGGAGCUUUUAAUUACUUUGCUGUUGUAAAAGGGCCCCCUUCGAGGGAGGGGGUUUGUGAUGGGGAGGAACAGAGGGAAUGGGAGAGCUCAGAACCCCACAGCCACGGGACAGACACGUCCUGCAGACACCCAUGUAGGGGAGAGCAUUGGAUGCUCUGCGUUGUGCAAUGGCAGUGAAUGGAGCAGCAUGGUGGAUGGAGGGAUGGGACUGGGAGGAGGGCAGAUGCCUUCAGGGCUCCUCCAGCCCAGGACACCACCACAGCAGCCCCUCCUGCCUGGUUCCUGGAGAGCUCACCGUUCCCCCGGCCCCUUCCGAUCAUUGCACGUCGCUGACAUCAUUGCCAGUUGCCAUGGAAAAGGCAGGUUGUCCAAAACACGACCCCUUGGCCUCAUCCCAUGCGUGUCAGGAAAUGAAGGUUUUACAGCACAACGCUGCAGCAGAGCAGGAAGAGCCGGAGAGGGACCGGCAGCUCGGAGACAGGCACAUGGCUCUGCCCCCUCUGUGAUGGGGAAAUGGAGACCAACUGGGGCUACCAGAUGGAUUUGUGUCUUCUGAGUUAUUUCUGGGCUGCUGGGGAGGCAAGGUGGAGCUUUAAAGUUGGUGCCCAGAGAGAAGGCAAGAAGUCUGCGUGAAGCUCUGAGCAACGCAACAGCAGAUGGUUUCCAUCGUUAAACCCAAGGAGAGAAUGUCUCCUAGGUGAGGUUGUGUUGCUGGAUGUGAGGCUCCUGGCUGGAUGAGGAGACCGGGGUGAUGCGAUGCCUCCCAGCUGAGCUGGGGAUGGGCAGAGAGCAGAGCAAAAGGAGCUGCUUGUUGUGGUGCCAGGAACCAGCCAGCAAUUCUAAAGCCAUCCUGGAGUCAGCGGUCACCAAAAGCCUUGCAGAGAGUGUGGGGGCUUUGGGAAGGGAGCACCAGGUGUUGUGCUGCGGUGGGGUUGGGACGCUGCUGUUCAAGGCAGCCUUUGUUCAGGCAGGAAUUACAACCAGACCUCUCUAUCCUGCAGUGGUCAGAGUGGAGGUGUUUCCCCAAGGGAAAGCUGGAAGCUUUGCUCUUGGAUCCUCCAGAACGGGAGGAAGCACACUGUGUCCUGCCCUGACCACAAAGCAUCCGCUCCCCCGUGCACAAGCAGCGUGCAAAAAGCUCCAUGAAGGCUCCGAGCAGUGGCAGCUCUGCCCGCCCUGCUGGAUUCAGGCAGCCUUCAUGCCACAUCCGUGCUGCAGGAUGAACCCAUCUCCUCCUUAGGUUCUUUUCCCCAUUCAUCCAUGGCCAUGCAUGCAGCCCAGCCCCCCCCAGCAGGCGGUGGACCACGAGCAGGCUGAGCAGCACACUCAUCUGGGGAUGUGCUGGAAAAUUAAAGCAUGGGAGCUUUCUGGUUUUGCAUACCCCAUCCGGGGGCACAGUGCAGGCGCCGAGCAUGGAAAGUGGUGGCAUGACACAUCAGCACUCUUGUUUUGGUCUCACUUUGCUCGAUACCUCACCAGUGCUGCAGUCACUUCACCCACCCGGUAAACAACGGCACGAGCGCGGGGAGCUGCCGGCUCCCUCCCGGCUGUGGGUGUCAGAGGGUUAAAAAUAGACUCCAGAUUUCGGUUGGUGAAUGUGGAGGCAGAGAGCAGAGCGCUGUUUAUCAAUGCCAGGGUUUCCCCUGAGAUGCUGAAAUGAGUCAGAUAAGGGAUGGGUACAACCGUGCUCCGCGCACGGCUCCUUUUGGGGAGCUCAGUGCUGAGGUCCGUGGGGAUGUUUGGUGUGGAUGGGUUCCUACAGGCUACGUUACAGCAUCCUACCCAUCCUUACCCUUCUGUAAGCACUGUCCUCUGCCCCUCCUCAGCCGUGAAAGCACCAUGGGCUGCUCAGCUGGCUCAGUUCCUCACUGGGUUUUGAGCCCAUGCAGAGGGCAGGGAUGGGCGGGGGGAUGGCUGAGGAGUGUGAUGUCCCAAAGGGACCCAAAAGGCUGCAAGGUGCGCCAGGUUUGUGGUGCUGGGGAGGCUGGAGGAGCAUCAGCCUCCUGUAACAGCGCUGCAGGUGUUGGCUCUGACCUUCCUACCCUGUGCAAAAUUGCUUCCAAUGCAGAGGUCACCAAGCUCCGUGAUGCUGCAAUUUCAGAGGAGCACAAGGGAGGAUUUUGCUGUCUCUGUUGUUGCACUGCUGACAUUUGGGACCUUCAGAGCAGUGGAGCUGUGAGGAUUGCUGCUGGGUCCCUGGGAGCAGCGUGGUGCCAUCGCUGCUGCUUGCAGGAAUCUGAGGGCUCAGAUGGUGGGGUGCAAAGGGCUGCUGGUGCUGCUGCAGCUCUUUGUGGCCCCAGUGAAAUUAGGGCACACAUUUUAGUGCCUUCCUAUCCUGCAUGCUGCAAUAGUUGUGGUCACUGUGGCAGGUCCUCUCCUGUAAGGGCAUCCUAUGCCCUUACACCCCAUCCCUUUGCACAGUGCUUGGGCCCUGGGGUGAUGCAGACCUGGAUGCCCAUCUCCUAAGGCCCAGGGAACAUGUGUUUGGGUCACCCCAGGCUGGGUUAAUGCACAGGGGCAGCAGCAGGCUGCUGUUAGCAGAGGACCAAACUGCUCCCUGUCAGUGUUUCUGAGCCAAGUUGGCAGCUGCUUCAGCUCAGCCCCACGGGGUGGGAGAUGGGGCUAAAACUGCUCCCUAUUUCCAUCCUGUCCCCUCUUGUGCCUCUGCACCUCCUACAUUGGCAUCACCAUCCCAUCCCAUCCUCAUCAGCAUCCCCAUCCCAUUCCUUCAGCAUCCUCAUCCCCUUCCCAUCCCGUCCCAAUCUCACCCAUCCCCUCUCCCUUUGCACCACUGCAACGACAUCCACGCGCGAGGCCCUCGGGAGCCCUUUUUCUCCCAGGGACAGCAUUUUGGAGGAGGGACGGAGCCGGUCCCACUUCCAGAGGCACCCCACGCUGUGGGAUCUGGGCUGGGCUGUGGGGCUGUGUGAAUGGAGCACUUUUUCACACCCGACGCUUUGCUUGUGGAAGCGGCAGCAGCUUCCUGUUUGACUCACACCUGACAGCCCCGCUGUAUGAGUCGGGGCCUCUCGGUGCUUGCAGCAACUGAGUGGGGCUGUUUACAAUUAGAGAACAUGGGAUUCCCAGAAAGAGGCUCAGACCGGACAUCCUGAAGCGAAAUACCCCGGGCGUCACCAGCUAAAAAUAGACACAGCAGAACAGUCACCAAACAAACAGCACGGCUGCGUUGGGUGCAGGGCUGUGUCCCAUGGCGUGGGGGGGGGGGGAGGGGAGGGGGACACACGGUGGCCUUUCCUUCCCCCGUUGUGUUUUUGGGGCAUAACGACGUGAUGCUCCGAAGCGGCAGUGGCGCGCAGUGAUUUGUCUCGGUUUCUGUCUUUGUUUGUGGAUGGGGGGAGGGAGGGGGGACACACAAAGGAGGGGCUGAAGUAUAAAUAAAGCCAUUUGCAGCAGGAACUGAUGUGCUGUGGGCAGAGGACCCCGUGGAUGGCAUUGCUAUGGGAAGGAGGGUGGGAUCCCUCUGCUCUCUCCCAUUUGCAUCCCUGGUGAAAAGCGGUGUUUGAGCCGAGAGAUUCUUCCAACCUUUUCUCCAGGUGCAAAAGGGGCUGAGAUGGGGGGGGGGCCCCGGGUGUCCCCAAGAAGGGGAGUGGGGCAGGAAAGGAGCGCAAAGCCUCAGCCCAGCAGGGGCUGCUCAGCCUCUCCCUAACAGAGAUUUCAGCAGAGACAAACUCCCGUUAAAAGGCACUUACGCAAUCGGGUGCUAUUAGAGGAAGUGUCUCUGUAACCCCAGGCAGUUAGUGGUUGAUUUAUGUCCUGCAGCUUUAGGUUUUACAAGUUGCGAGGGAGUUGCAUAAGAAGAAAAUUUGACCUUCUAUUUCUUAAGAGCUUUUUUUUUUCUCUCUUUCUUUCUCUUUUUUUUCCUGUUGGGGGAUGUCUUUUCUCCGACGCUCACAUACCCGUUAUUUCGGUGGG